CAUGAAGCUGGAAUCGCUAGUAAUCGCAGAUCAGAAUGCUGCGGUGAAUACGUUCCCGGGUCUUGUACACACCGCCCGUCACACCAUGGGAGUCGGGAAUGCCCGAAGUCAGUGACCCAACCGCAAGGAGGGAGCUGCCGAAGGCAGGCUCGAUAACUGGGGUGAAGUCGUAACAAGGUAUC
rnacentral:rRNA from 1 species